UACAGAGGAGCCAAGCGUUGUCCGGAUUGACUGGGCGUAAAGCGCACGCAGGCGGAUGCGCGCGUGGGGUGUGAAAUCUGGCCGCUUAACGGCCAGGCGCCAUCCCAUACGGCGUGUCUGGAGGGCUGCAGAGGUCGAUGGAAUUGCCGGUGUAGUGGUGAAAUGCGUAGAGAUCAGCAGGAACACCCGUGGCGAAGGCGGCCCCCUGGGCCGUACCUGACGCUGAGGCGCGAAGGCUAGGGGAGCGAACGGG
rnacentral:rRNA from 1 species